GAUGAACGCUGGCGGCAUGCUUUACACAUGCAAGUCGAACGGUAACAGGCCGCAAGGUGCUGACGAGUGGCGAACGGGUGAGUAAUGCAUCGGAACGUGCCCAGUCGUGGGGGAUAACGCAGCGAAAGCUGUGCUAAUACCGCAUACGAUCUAUGGAUGAAAGCGGGGGACCGUAAGGCCUCGCGCGAUUGGAGCGGCCGAUGUCAGAUUAGGUAGUUGGUGGGGUAAAGGCCUACCAAGCCGACGAUCUGUAGCUGGUCUGAGAGGACGACCAGCCACACUGGGACUGAGACACGGCCCAGACUCCUACGGGAGGCAGCAGUGGGGAAUUUUGGACAAUGGGCGCAAGCCUGAUCCAGCAAUGCCGCGUGCAGGAAGAAGGCCUUCGGGUUGUAAACUGCUUUUGUACGGAACGAAACGGUCUGGGUUAAUACCCUGGGCUAAUGACGGUACCGUAAGAAUAAGCACCGGCUAACUACGUGCCAGCCGCCGCAGUAA
rnacentral:rRNA from 1 species